AGGACGAACGCUGGCGGCGUGCUUAACACAUGCAAGUCGAACGAGGUGCUUGCACCUAGUGGCGAACGGGUGAGUAACACGUGAGCAACCUGCCCCUGGCUCUGGGAUAGCCUCCGGAAACGGGGAUUAAUACCGGACAUUCACUUUCUUCCGCAUGGUGGAGGGUGGAAAGUUUUUCGGCCAGGGAGGGGCUCGCGGCCUAUCAGCUUGUUGGAGGGGUAACGGCCCACCAAGGCGACGACGGGUAGCCGGCCCGAGAGGGCGACCGGCCACACUGGGACUGAGACACGGCCCAGACUCCUACGGGAGGCAGCAGUGGGGAAUCUUGCGCAAUGGGCGAAAGCCUGACGCAGCAACGCCGCGUGGAGGACGAAGGCUUUCUGAGUUGUAAACUCCUUUCAGCAGGGACGAUAGUGACGGUACCUGCAGAAGAAGCACCGGCCAACUACGUGCCAGCAGCCGC
rnacentral:rRNA from 1 species